AUAUCCUCAAUUUAAUUUGAACAAGCACCAUAAAAAGUUGCAACACAUUUUAAUAUGCUUUAUUUUUUAAUUCCCCCAUUUUUUCUUAUCCCUUUUCUUUUACCUUUCUCAACUUCUCCAUUGUUUAGUUACAUUUUCUUUUUCUUCCCCUAUUUUUUUUCCCUUUAAAAUUCAAUCUGCCAAUAUUGUGUUAACUUCAUAUUUCCUCUGGUAUCUGACUAGGCUCCCCCCAUUCUCUUUCUCUAAAAGGGACUCGCAUCUCAAUUACUCAUUUUUCUC
rnacentral:misc_RNA from 1 species